rnacentral:tRNA from 1 species
CAGGGAGACAACAAAAUGUUUAAUAUUAUUAUUUUGUCACCUUAGGUCGAUCGGUAUCUCACAUUCUUAAUUUAUUAAGGAUUUCAUUUCCUAAGUUUUUCUAGGUCACACCCAUUAUUUUUCCUGGGCCAUUAGCUCAGGUGGUUAGAGCGCACCCCUGAUAAGGGUGAGGUCCCUGGUUCAAGUCCAGGAUGGCCCAUAUCUCUAUGUUGGGGGUAUAGCUCAGUUGGUAGAGCGCCUGCUUUGCAAGCAGGAUGUCAGCGGUUCGAGUCCGCUUACCUCCACUGAUUACCACCUCUUCCAUAAUCUGUAGAAAGGAAAAUUUUUGUGUUGUGAUCAUAAAUCUGAGCGAAUCUAGCUUCCUAAUGAAACAUUAAGAUGCUGGACUCAUUGAAUUAAUUUCAUUGUUUUCAGAGAACCUUGACAACUGCAUAGAUUAUUUUUAAAGACAAUAAGCAUCUUUAUGAUGCAGAUUUAUUAUUUGUGCGAAUGCAUUAAUAACAAUUCUAUUAAGCUGAUGCUUCAAUUUUGAAGUUAUU